AUUGAACGCUGGCGGCAUGCUUUACACAUGCAAGUCGAACGGCAGCACGGGUGCUUGCACCUGGUGGCGAGUGGCGGACGGGUGAGUAAUACAUCGGAACGUAUCCAGAAGAGGGGGAUAACGCAUCGAAAGAUGUGCUAAUACCGCAUAUUCUCUGAGGAGGAAAGCAGGGGAUCGAAAGACCUUGCGCUUUGGGAGCGGCCGAUGUCUGAUUAGCUAGUUGGUGGGGUAAAGGCCUACCAAGGCGACGAUCAGUAGUUGGUCUGAGAGGACGACCAGCCACACUGGGACUGAGACACGGCCCAGACUCCUACGGGAGGCAGCAGUGGGGAAUUUUGGACAAUGGGCGCAAGCCUGAUCCAGCAAUGCCGCGUGAGUGAAGAAGGCCUCGGUUGUAAGU
rnacentral:rRNA from 1 species